rnacentral:lncRNA from 1 species
AUCAUAUUGUCUUCGGGAUAAAGUAGAUAUAUUGGAAAAGAUCACAUUUUAAUGGAUGACAGUAUCUUUAAUCUUUAUGCUCUCAGAGUUGUUCUUUUCUACUUUGUAAAAGUCACUUAUUCAACAACGUUAUUGAACAUGUUCCUCGUUUCAGAUUGUGUGACUCCUGGGGACAUAAAGGUGACUGAUAGAAGAUAUUCCUACUAUACAGCCUGUGGACUCCCAGGGGCUGGGCCAGGACUACACUUUGGGUGCCACGGAGGGAAAGAGGCAGCCCCAUCCCCACCCCCAGGUAUGAAAUUGAUUUCCCUGGAAGGAUGAAUAACUAUACAACCAGAUACAGAUUUGAAGGCUUUGAACUGAAACCAAAAUUUAGGUAAAGUAAUAAAGAAGUGUAAAGAACAGAAUCUCCAUUUAAAGGAAUAUCCUAUGUAACAUAUGACCUGGUGGAAGGAUUACUGCACAGACAAGCCAAGAAGAAUCUGAAACUACAGGACUUUGCUAGGUUUUCUCAGCAAGUCUUUUAGCAAUAAAAUCUAUGUAAUGAAACAUCCACAAAACCUGCAAUGGGCAGUGUGGAGAGUUUCUGGAUCCCUGGACACAUGGAGGUUCCUGCGGUGUCGUGCACUUCCAGGCACGGAAGAAGGUGGAACCUCAGUACCUCUUCUCCCAUCCCUGCUCUGUGCAUCUCUUCACCUGUACUCUUUGUACUGCACUUACAAAUAAACCUGAAAAGUAAGCA